CCCUUAGAUGUCCUGGGCCGCACGCGCGCUACACUGAUGCAUGCAACGAGUUUAUAACCUUGGCCUGAAAGGUCUGGGUAAUCUUUUGAACGUGCAUCGUGAUAGGGAUAGAUUAUUGCAAUUGUUAAUCUUGAACGAGGAAUUCCUAGUAAACGCGAGUCAUCAGCUCGCAUUGAUUACGUCCCUGCCCUUUGUACACACCGCCCGUCGCACCUACCGAUUGAAUGGUUCGGUGAAGAUCUCGGACUUCGAUAUUUAUUCUUUAUUGAGUUUAUAUUGUAGGAAGUUAUCUAAACCUCAUCAUUUAGAGGAAGGUGAAGUCGUAACA
rnacentral:rRNA from 1 species